rnacentral:rRNA from 1 species
AUGCAUUUCAUGUACACCUCAGUUGGUCAACCUGGUUCUAUGCAUGAUACCAGUGUCUUGUAUCAUGCAAUUGAAGCUGACAAAGACACCUUUCCUCAUCCUCCAAAGGGUAUGUACUAUCUUGUGGAUGCAGGCUAUCCUAAUAGACCUGGAUAUCUGGCACCUUACAAGGGCGAGAGGUACCAUGUUCCUGAUUUUCAACGAGGUGUGGCUCCAAGAACACUUAAGGAGAAGUUUAAUAAGAUACACUCAUCCAAGCGUAAUGUGAUCGAGAGAGCGUUUGGCGUGUGGAAAAUGAAGUGGCAGAUUUUACUAAAGAUGCCAAAUUAUUCAGUUGAAACUCAAAAGAUGAUAGUGGCUGCAACUAUGACCCUUCACAACUAUAUUCGUUAUCAUGAUAAGGGCGAUCUUCAUUUUCUUUGA